AAAAGAAACCAACAGGGAUUGCCCUAGUAACGGCGAGUGAAGCGGCAACAGCUCAAAUUUGAAAUCUGGCUCCGGCCCGAGUUGUAAUUUGCAGAGGAAGCUUCUGGUGAUAUACCGUCUAAGUCCCCUGGAACGGGGCGCCACAGUGGGUGAGAGCCCCAUGUGACGGAUGUAGAUCCUGUGUGAAGCUCCUUCGACGAGUCGAGUAGUUUGGGAAUGCUGCUCAAAAUGGGAGGUAAAUUCCUUCUAAAGCUAAAUAUUGGCCAGAGACCGAUAGCGCACAAGUAGAGUGAUCGAAAGAUGAAAAGCACUUUGAAAAGAGGGUUGAACAGCACGUGAAAUUGUUGAAAGGGAAGCGCUUAUGACCAGACUUGCGCUGGGCUGAUCAUCCGGUGUUCUCACCGGUGCACUCUGCCCAGCUCAGGCCAGCAUCGGUUUUGGCGGGGGGAUAAAGGCGCAGGGAAUGUAGCUCCUCCGGGAGUGUUAUAGCCCGGCGCGCAAUACCCCCGCUGGGACCGAGGUUCGCGCUCUGCAAGGAUGCUGGCGUAAUGGUCAUCAGCGACCCGUCUUGAAACACGGA
rnacentral:rRNA from 1 species